rnacentral:rRNA from 1 species
CCUACGGGCGGCAGCAGUGAGGAAUAUUGGUCAAUGGGAGAGAUCCUGAACCAGCCAAGCCGCGUGAGGGAAGACGGCCCUAUGGGUUGUAAACCUCUUUUGUCGGAGAACAAAACGCGGGACGAGUCCCGGUCUGCGUGUAUCCGAAGAAAAAGCAUCGGCUAACUCCGUGCCAGCAGCCGCGGUAAUACGGAGGAUGCGAGCGUUAUCCGGAUUUAUUGGGUUUAAAGGGUGCGUAGGGGGGGUUUUAAGUCAGCGGUGAAAGUUUGGGGCUUAACCCUGGCACGGCCGUUGAAACUGGUUGCCUUGAGUAUACGAGAGGAAGGCGGAAUGCGUGGUGUAGCGGUGAAAUGCAUAGAUAUCACGCAGAACCCCGAUUGCGAAGGCAGCCUACCG